UUUGGGGCUUUAUUGUGUGGACAUGUGAAGGUGUUUAUGACAUCUGUCUGUUGAAAUGGGGUCAGAAUGUACAGAAUUUAAUGUUUUUAAUGGCUGAGUGUCUGUGGCUGUUGUGGUUAUUUCUGUGGGGAACCCUGAAAAGUGCCAAACUCUCGGUGCUGUAUAGGUAUGGGGCAUGCCUCCACCAAGGCGUAACUUGGUGGGAUGGCAUACCUACCAUCCCAAUACCUGUCAAUUUUGUUUUCUUUUUUGUGAUGGUCAUAAUUUAGAAGCAGAAACAAAUUUUGCUCAGAGGGGGUAUACUCAUUUGCAACAUGGCUUUUUAUAAUGUUGGUUAAAAAAACAUGCUUUCCUGUUUAGCAUUGCAGUAUUGCAGUGUUGCUGAAACACUACAUAAUAUCUUUUUUAUUUGUAAAGCGAUAAAGCUGGAUUUCCAUUUUUCAGAGAGGGUGUACUCCUUCAUGAUGUGCACUGUAACAUUGCUGUGUCCCAAGCAUGGUGCCCUAAAAUUGGGGGGAUUGUGUAUAAAAAGGGCUGUAAUUCAUACACUGUUCACCUGAUAUGCAUGUAAAUACUUUUUUUAUUACAAAUCUCAAAUUGUGGAGUACAGAGGCAAAUCAAUAAAUGAUGGGUCUUUGUCCCAAACAUUAUGGAGGGCACUGUAUCCCUAAUAAUAUUUAAAUGCGUUUAAUUUCAUAUUGUUUGUUCUCUGCAGGUUUCUGCCUCUGCUGCUGACGUUGAGAGGUCCUUAACUUUGCCUGACAGUCCUCGAUUGAUUGUUCUCGAACUCGCCUCCGCAGGCGAGGACCCCGUGGCGACGGAACCUCUCCAAACUUCGCUAUCCCUCACUGACCCCCCUGUGACGACUUCACGGUCGCAGGAGGGCUAUGGAACUGCCAGUCUGCUACGCGGAAGGCUGACUUCAUUUCAGCCUACGCGUCCCUCUUCUCCCUACAUUUCCUUGCCCUCACUGAGACCUGGAUCACACCAGGCAACACUGCAACCCCUGCAGCCCUCUCCUCCUCCUUCUCCUUUUCUCACGCCCUCCGCCCGUCUGGCCGUGGUGGGGGCACAGGUUUGCUGAUCUCUCCCUCUUGGAAAUUCUCUGUUCUCCCCCUUUCUCACCUCUCCAUCUCUACCUUUGAAUACCACUCUGUCUCAAUCACCUAUCCUGUUAACUUGUACAUUGUUGUUAUCUAUCGCCCUCCAGGGCCCCUGGGAAGCUUCCUCGAUGAGCUCAACACCCUGCUCAGCUCCUUCCCAGAGAAUGGUGUAAAGGGGAGUCAAACUGGGACCCAGAAAAGGCUGGCAUUUGAACGGGCCUGCAGGCUGGGACUCAUCCUGUACUUCAAAGAACCCAGAGCCGUGUGAUAAAACAAUAAGUUACUUGGACUUCCUCGGGAUAAGCAGGCCAUUUGGCUCUCUGGAAUGUUGCCACCUGGACACAUCUAAGAUAAGGGGAACUAGUCUCUUUGUCUAUGGUUGUGGGGGUAUGUGUGUUCGGGCCAUUAAGGGUAAAAAGAUCAUCAGGCCUCUGGACAAAUGGUGGGGCAACUACGCUUGACAGUUCCACAGUGCCGUUAUGUGGGCCCCUCUAUCAUUACACUUUUUAUUUAUUUUCUGGAUCUGGACUCUAAACCAUCUGUUUAUCAUAUUUACAAACCCCGGAAAACCUUACAAACCAUGCACGUGUUUUCAUUAUAUUACUGUAUUAUGCCUUAUGUAAUAAUAACAUGGAUUGCAUGUAAAAUGCUUCAACAAAAGGGUAUUUUCAUGACAACUGCACCAUAAUAUUACAUCCCCUGGACAUGUUUGGCAUAUUCAGGAAAAUUCCAGAAAUUGAAUGAAAAAUGUUUCAUACCCAAUAAAAUUUAAUGAAACAUA